rnacentral:rRNA from 1 species
GAUGAACGCUGGCUACAGGCUCAACACAUGCAAGUCGAGGGGAAACGCCGGGGAAGCUUGCUUCCCCGGGCGUCGACCGGCGCACGGGUGAGUAACGCGUAUCCAACCUGCCUCUGACUGAGGGAUAACCCGUCGAAAGUCGGCCUAAUACCUCAUGGCAUCGUCUGCGGGCAUCCAACGACGAUUAAAGAUUUCAUCGGUCAGGGAUGGGGAUGCGUCUGAUUAGCUAGUUGGCGGGGUAACGGCCCACCAAGGCGACGAUCAGUAGGGGUUCUGAGAGGAAGGUCCCCCACAUUGGAACUGAGACACGGUCCAAACUCCUACGGGAGGCAGCAGUGAGGAAUAUUGGUCAAUGGGCGAGAGCCUGAACCAGCCAAGUAGCGUGCAGGAUGACGGCCCUAUGGGUUGUAAACUGCUUUUAUGCGGGGAUAAAGUGAGGGACGUGUCCUUCAUUGCAGGUACCGCAUGAAUAAGGACCGGCUAAUUCCGUG